rnacentral:rRNA from 1 species
ACCCAGACUCCUACGGGAGGCAGCAGUGAGGAAUAUUGGUCAAUGGGCGAGAGCCUGAACCAGCCAAGUCGCGUGAAGGAUGACGGCCCUACGGGUUGUAAACUUCUUUUGUCAGGGAGCAAUUGGGUCCACGCGUGGGCUCAGCGAGAGUACCUGAAGAAAAAGCAUCGGCUAACUACGUGCCAGCAGCCGCGGUAAUACGUAGGGAGCAAGCGUUGUCCGGAAUUACUGGGCGUAAAGGGCGCGUAGGUGGGCGCUUAAGUCAGGUGUGAAAACUCCGGGCUCAACCUGGAGACUGCACUUGAAACUGGGUGUCUUGAGGGCAGGAGAGGAAAGUGGAAUUCCUAGUGUAGCGGUGAAAUGCGUAGAUAUUAGGAGGAACACCAGUGGCGAAGGCGACUUUCUGGACUGUACCUGACGCUGAGGCGCGAAAGCGUGGGUAGCGAACGGGAUUAGAUACCCCAGUA